rnacentral:rRNA from 1 species
CAGCCGCCACGGGAAUACGAAGGGCGCGAGCGUUACCCGGAUUUACUGGGCGUAAAGCGCACGUAGGCGGCUUGGUAAGUUAGAGGUGAAAGCCUGGAGCUCAACUCCAGAAUUGCCUUUAAGACUGCCGAGCUAGCAGGUGAGAGAGGUAAGUGGAAUUCCGAGUGUAGAGGUGAAAUUCGUAGAUAUUCGGAAGAACACCAGUGGCGAAGGCGGCUUACUGGCUCAUACUGGACGCUGAGGUGCGAAAGCGUGUGGAGCAAACAGGAUUAGAUACCCCGGUAGUCCCUGUCUCUUAUAC